CCGGUUCAUAACCAUAGUCAAAUCUUUAAUAUAACAUAUACUCAGUUCAUCAAUUCAAUGAAAAAUCAGUCGUACCACAUAUCUAAAUCAUAAUUUCAAUGAGAAAAACCUCUAUACAAUACUAUUCUCCUCUGUUUUUCUCUCUCUAGCAGUCAUUAACAUCCUCAUCAUCUUGGUCUCUCACUCUCUCUUUAUCUUAUACAUGUUCAUUCAUGUUCAUAUAUUGGCAGCAAACCACAUCAAAAAGCUGCUGAGAUAGUUUUUAAUAUCUCUAACAUGAAAUCACCAAAUAUAUAUAUAUAUAUAUAUAUAUAUAUAUACUACACAAAAUUAAUAUAAAAACACAUGAACAUAAAAAUAGAAAAUAAUAAAGAAAUAAAACUAAUAUUAACAACAAUAGAUUAUUACACAAUAUAGAGUAACCCAUCAACAGCUGAUGAAUUGAUUGUUUUUGUUGGGGACGAAAGCAAGUGUUUCUAAAACAAAGAAUAAAAACAUAAAAGUUUUUGAAUCUUAGAUUCCCUUUUUAACUUUUUGUUCCUUUUUGUAUGUUUUCCCACAAUGUGAAAGUCAAAAACAUAAACGAUGUGAAAGUCAAAAACAAAAAAACAAAAACAAAAAAAGCCAGGAACCCAUGUUGGGAGUUCUCAAGUACCCAAUUACCAAAAGACUCAAAGGAUUCACCAACAUGCUCAGAUAUUGUAAACAUCUAAACCUAUCAUCAUAACUACAACAAUAAUAACUACAACAGAUCAUCAAAGCAGCAGAAUCAAUUUGGGCAAGGAACCAAAGGAUUCAACAGCAUGCUCAAAAACCCAUCACCAAAUCAUUAAUCUGUUAAAAAAUUGAGGGGAUUCAAACCUGAAGAGAAACGAUGGAAGAACUCGCAGAUCAAAAAUCACUCAAACGAACGUUGGAUAGAGGAUGAAAGAUGGCUGAACCAACGAAGAGCAGAUGAAAUGAGAUGAAGAAUUAGAGAAGACGACUAUGAUCUUUGAGGCCUUGAAAGUACCCAUGUCUGAGAAUUGGAGAAGACGACUAUGAUCUCUGAGGCCUCUCUCUCUCACUUCUCUUU
rnacentral:lncRNA from 1 species